GACGAACGCUGGCGGCGUGCUUAACACAUGCGAGUCGAACGGAAAGGCCCUGCUUUUGUGGGGUGCUCGAGUGGCGAACGGGUGAGUAACACGUGAGUAACCUGCCCUUGACUUUGGGAUAACUUCAGGAAACUGGGGCUAAUACCGGAUAGGAGCUCCUGCUGCAUGGUGGGGGUUGGAAAGUUUCGGCGGUUGGGGAUGGACUCGCGGCUUAUCAGCUUGUUGGUGGGGUAGUGGCUUACCAAGGCUUUGACGGGUAGCCGGCCUGAGAGGGGGACCGGCCACAUUGGGACUGAGAGACGGCCCAGAAUCCUACGGGAGGCAGCAGUGGGGAAUAUUGCACAAUGGGCGGAAGCCUGAUGCAGCAACGCCGCGUGCGGGAUGACGGCCUUCGGGUUGUAAACCGCUUUCGCCUGUGACGAAGCGUGAGUGACGGUAAUGGGUAAAGAAGCACCGGCUAACUACGUG
rnacentral:rRNA from 1 species